rnacentral:tRNA from 1 species
GUCGAUGUGUUGGAACUGGUAGACAAGAUAGACUCAGAAUCUAUUGUUCAUUAAGGACGUGCGGGUUCGAGUCCCGCCAUCGGCA